rnacentral:tRNA from 1 species
GCGGCUUUAGCUCACUUUGGAGAGCGCCAGACUGAAGAUCUGGAGGCACUGUGUUCGAUCCACAGAAGCCGCA